CAGUCGCCACGGGAAUACGGAGGGUGCAAGCGUUAAUCGGAAUUACUGGGCGUAAAGCGCACGCAGGCGGUUUGUUAAGUCAAAUGUGAAAUCCCCGAGCUUAACUUGGGAACUGCAUUUGAAACUGGCAGGCUAGAGUCUUGUAGAGGGGGGUAGAAUUCCAGGUGUAGCGGUGAAAUGCGUAGAGAUCUGGAGGAAUACCGGUGGCGAAGGCGGCCCCCUGGACAAAGACUGACGCUCAGGUGCGAAAGCGUGGGGAGCAAACAGGAUUAGAUACCCCAGUAGUCCCUGUCUCUUAUAC
rnacentral:rRNA from 1 species